UGUCACUUGAGAGAGCCGCAACAACUGGUGGGUUGUCUCGUCUCGUCCGGCUAAAGCCUCCAAACUCAAGCAAAAAUCAUUGUUGUUGAGAUAAUCAUACUAUCAAUAUCAGAAAUUUAUAAUUGUUAGGACUGGGGCUUGAAGCCCGUAUGGUUAGAGGCCCAUGAUGCCCCUUUACAGGCCAAAACACCACCUGCCUUUAACAUUAAGUUCUUUGGGUUUGAAUCUCUGGUUACAUUGUUCAUGGUGUCCUAGUGCUGUUAUUGCUAUAAUAGCUACUAUGUUCCAGGCAUUGUGCCCUCCUUGAGUGUGGAUUGCAUAAUGCCUUCUGGGGUUGUGAUUUGGAUCUGGUUUUCUGGGUAGAAGUCUGGUUAUUCUCUCAGCUGGAGCCUGGUAAUGUACAUAGAUUGUGUAUUUUUUUUUCAAGUGCUAUUUUAUAAAUUAUAUAUGCAAGCCCAAUUUAAUUGAAUAUUUGUCGAUUCCCCUUCAUAUCUAAUAUUUUGUAGGCUUAGCUGGAUUAAUCUCUUACAUCCCUUAAUAGUUAGAUUAAUGUAUGAUUUCCAAGUACCUUCAAACACAAGCUACUCCACCCUUAGCAAACCAUAUCGGUAGAUGUUUCCUCUUUAGAACUUUGGAUGGCCAUUGGUUAAUUUGUGUGCCAAUUAAAACCUUGUCUGAUAAUAUUAGUUGCUCAAUUGAUUUUAUACAUGGUUUCAUAAAAAUUGGAUUUGAAUCAUUGAGUGUUGCUAGUACAAAGUGAGUUAUCUUAUUAUGUGUUAUUAUAUGACUUAUAUAUUAUAAAUUUAUAUUUAUAUGAUUGUUUUUUUUUUUGAAUGAAUUGGGUUCAAGGAGUACAAUAAAAUCUAUCACUCGAAUAUUCUGAGAACCUAAUUGACCAAUCUCAAAUUGAAUUAAUUUUGGAUUUGUUGUUUAAGUCCAUAGAAUAUACAAGUUGUCGACAUUAAAAUAUUUCAUCUAUUAUACUAGUUGUCAACAUUAGUUACAUUAGUCAUGUCAAUGGAAUAUACGAGUUUGGGUUGAAAGAGCACAGCAUAAUCUAUCACUCGUAGAUUCAAUGAACUAGACUAAUUUAUUCAAGAUUAUUUAGCAAGCAAGGAUUGAGCAUAUUGUUACGAAGUCCCUAUUUGUUCAAUAAUCUCGAAUGGGUAAGUCAAGUUAUAGAAUAUACGAACUGUCAAUAUUGAAAUCUUUGAAUGGAAAAUAGAUAAAGACUACAAAAUGAGUGCUUUUGUAAAACAUGUGUUUUGUUGUCUUUGCAUGUUUUUUAUUCAAGAUGAGUGCUUCUGUCGAAGGUUAAUUUUCAUUUUCUCCAAUUAGCAUGAUUUUUAAAUUUCAUUCUUUUUGUUCUCAUAGUAUUAGUAUGUAAGAUCAUCUUUUGAGUUGACUAAUGAUCUUCCUUGUCGACUGAUGAUCUUCCUUCUCAAUUAAUUGGGAAUUAUAUUUUUGAACCGCACUUAUCAAACAUGAUCAAAUUGAAAGGAAUGGUCUUUUCAAUGUAAUUAUAUUUAAUUCAAGUAGUUCAGAAAUAGAAUAUUCACAGUCGAAGAUUUUCAAUCGACUAAGAAAGUAUCUUAUAUACUAAUAUUAUAAACAUAGGGACAUUUGAUUACUUUAACUUUUAAUGAACUUAAAGUCUGGCGCCCAGUAACUUCUCAAUUGAGUGAUGUGGUUGGUAAUUCACGUCGAAUCUUCACCAAAGUAGUUGGCGAACCCUUAUGACGAAAGGAUGAUACUAGUAGAUAGAUUGUUAUUUUUUUUUCAUUGGAUUCUUUAUAUUC